rnacentral:rRNA from 1 species
AGGGUUUGGCCUGGUAAGUACUUGGAUGGGAGACCACCUGGGAAUACCAGGUGCUGUAAGCU